GAACUGAAGAGUUUGAUCAUGGCUCAGAUUGAACGCUGGCGGCAGGCCUAACACAUGCAAGUCGAGCGGAUGAAGGGAGCUUGCUCCUGGAUUCAGCGGCGGACGGGUGAGUAAUGCCUAGGAAUCUGCCUGGUAGUGGGGGAUAACGUCCGGAAACGGGCGCUAAUACCGCAUACGUCCUGAGGGAGA
rnacentral:rRNA from 1 species